rnacentral:rRNA from 1 species
UAGGACCAGACUCCUACGGGAGGCAGCAGUAAGGAAUAUUGGUCAAUGGAGGCAACUCUGAACCAGCCAUGCCGCGUGCAGGAAGACGGCCCUAUGGGUUGUAAACUGCUUUUGUACCAGAGAAAACCCUCUUACGUGUAGGAGGUUGAUAGUAUGGUAAGAAUAAGCAUCGGCUAACUUCGUGCCAGCAGCCGCGGUAAGACGAAGGAUGCAUAAUC